AUGCUGGGGCAGGCACCAUGGGCAAGGCUGUCUCCUUCUGGCCCUGCCGUCCUGCUGCUGGCACUCUGUGCUGGUGUCAUGACUCAGGACCUCUGCAGAUCCCCAGGUGACCUCCUGGCUCCUGCCCUCAUGUUGAACACCUUCAGUGCCCAGGAGAGACAAAUGGUUUUGGUUCAGUGUGCCAUUGAUGGGCGUUCUCCUGUUACAAGAAUUGUCUUCUGCAAGGAUGGGGUGGAAACAUCCAGCCUGAAGGCCAUUCGGGGGCAGCUGACCUACAACGUGAUCCUGAAUGUCUCACUGGGAAGCGCGGGCAAGUACACGUGUGGGUACCAGCUCAAGGAUCAGAGCAACCAAGUGAAGAACUCUGCCCUCAGUGUCCCUCAGGACUUGGAAAUCACAGCUCCACAUGCCCGGAUCCCGCACACCCUCCCCACAGGCACAGCGCUGGCAGUGGCGGCCGUCGGCCUCGUCCUCCUGUCUGCAGGCAGCUGGUUUGUCAUCAGGAAAGGUGAGGGAGUGGGGGAAGGCAGGGGGGGAAGGAUGAGUCUGUGGGGGUCCUGCUGCGGGGCUGGUGCAGUGGGAAAUGUGGUGGGGGGAACCUGGGGGUGCACAGCUGGGGCAGACGGUGCCUGGGGGCGAUGGCUGUGGGCAGCCCAGCUGGGGAGGCUGCUGAGGGAGCUGGGGAGCUUCAGCCUUCAUCCCCCAGCCCCGAGAUGGGAGCCAGGGCUGGGCAGCACCUUGGCCUGCGCACCUCAGCCCCUGUUCUUCUUGCAGGUGUCUGCAGAGGGAGAUGCCCAAGUGGUGCUGCAGACCUUCAGGACAUUUUUUCCCUCCUCUCUCUGUGCGUCUCCAUGGUGCUGGUAGUGCUCAAGACUCUUCUGCUGACCCCAGCCAUUUCUAUGCCAACGUGGAUGAGAUGGGCAGAGUGAAGGUGAGUUCAGACCAAGCACAGCCUUGCAGGCUGAGCGUGCACGUGAUGGUUGCGAGAGGGCAGGCUGUUGGAGAGCAAAUGCAAGCCAAAAGU
rnacentral:lncRNA from 1 species